CUCUCGAAACGAGGCUAAAGUGAAAUCCGACGAUAACGAGACUUUAUUUACCUAUCCUACAAAUCUUGCUGCCCAGAGCCGCUAACCAUCAUCAGAAGUAGAGAGAAGCUGACCAAAGACAAUAGAGAAAAGAUGCCUAGGUGGUUCGAUCCGUGGCCCGUCUUCUUCAAGCGAGAGUUCAAUAGGAACUGGCCGUUCCUGGUCGGCUUUGCCGUAACUGGAGCCCUCAUCACCAAGUUCUCUCUUGGCCUUACAGAGGAGGAUGCGAAAAAUUCACCUUUCGUCCAGAGGCACAAGAGAUGAAUUGGAAACCCAACAAAGUUAUCAGCAGUGUACCACUCAUUGCUGGAAAGGAAAUAGAUUUGUUCUGUUUUCUUGGUCUAUAA
rnacentral:misc_RNA from 1 species